rnacentral:rRNA from 1 species
AAUGGAGGAAACUCUGAUGCAGCGAUGCCGCGUGAGUGAAGAAGGCCUUUGGGUUGUAAAGCUCUUUCGUCGGGGAAGAAAAUGACUGUACCCGAAUAAGAAGGUCCGGCUAACUUCGUGCCAGCAGCCGCGGUAAUACGAAGGGACCUAGCGUAGUUCGGAAUUACUGGGCUUAAAGAGUUCGUAGGUGGUUAAAAAAGUUGGUGGUGAAAUCCCAGAGCUUAACUCUGGAACUGCCAUCAAAACUUUUUAGCUAGAGUAUGAUAGAGGAAAGCAGAAUUUCUAGUGUAGAGGUGAAAUUCGUAGAUAUUAGAAAGAAUACCAAUUGCGAAGGCAGCUUUCUGGAUCAUUACUGACGCUGAGGAACGAAAGCAUGGGUAGCGAAGAGGAUU